rnacentral:rRNA from 1 species
GUGUCAGCCGCCGCGGUAAUACGUAGGGGGCAAGCGUUGUCCGGAUUUACUGGGUGUAAAGGGUGCUCAGGUGGUUUUGUAAGUCAGAGGUGAAAUUUCGGGGCUCAACCCCGGACCUGCCUUUGAUACUGCAAAGCUUGUGUACGGAAGAGGCUGAUGGAAUUUCUGGUGUAGCAGUGAAAUGCGUAGAGAUCAUGAGGAAGACCAGUGGCGAAGGCGGGUCUCUGGACAGUUCCUGACACUGAGGCACGAAGGCCAGGGGAGCAAACGGGAUUAGAUACCCCUGUAGUCC